GACGAACGCUGGCGGCGUGCCUAAUACAUGCAAGUCGUGCGGACCUUGUUGAAAGCUUGCUUUUAAAAGGUUAGCGGCGGACGGGUGAGUAACACGUGGGCAACCUGCCUGUAAGACUGGGAUAACGCCGGGAAACCGGGGCUAAUACCAGAUCGUUUUUUCCUCCGCAUGGAGGAAAAAGGAAAGGCGGCUUCGGCUGCCACUUACAGAUGGGCCCGCGGCGCAUUAGCUAGUUGGCGGGGUAAUGGCCCACCAACGCAACGAUGCGUAGCCGACCUGAGAAGGUGAUCGGCCACAUUGGGACUGAGACAAGGCCCAAACUUCUACGGGAGGCAGCAGUAGGGGAUCUUCCGCAAUGGACGAAAGUCUGACGGGGCAACGCCGCGUGAGUGAAGGAAGCCUUCGGGUCGUAAAACUCUGUUGCCGGGGAAGAACAAGUGCCGUUCGAACAGGGCGGCGCCUUGACGGUACCCGGCCAGAAAGCCACGGCUAACUACGUG
rnacentral:rRNA from 1 species